rnacentral:miRNA from 1 species
CAGCAGACACAUUCCAGCCAAUCAGCAGCAGACCCUCCCUCCCAGACCCUCCCACCUUCUGGACAGCAUCCAUUUUACAUUCAUUGUGAAGCUGCAUUCUUAGUGAGCUGUCCAGGAGGUGGAAGGGUCUGGGAGGGAGGGUCUGCUGCUGAUUGGCUGGAAUGUGUCUGCUG